AGCGAACGCUGGCGGCAGGCUUAACACAUGCAAGUCGAGCGGGCCCUUCGGGGUCAGCGGCGGACGGGUGAGUAACGCGUGGGAACGUGCCUUCUGGUCUGGAAUAACCCUGGGAAACUAGGGCUAAUACCGGAUACGCCCUCUUGGGGAAGGGUUUACUGCCGGAAGAUCGGCCCGCGUCUGAUUAGCUAGUUGGUGGGGUAACGGCCUACCAAGGCGACGAUCAGUAGCAGGUCUGAGAGGAUGAUCAGCCACACUGGGACUGAGACACGGGCCAGACUCCUACGGGAGGCAGCAGUGGGGAAUAUUGGACAAUGGGCGCAAGCCUGAUCCAGCCAUGCCGCGUGAGUGAUGAAGGCCUUAGGGUUGUAAAGCUCUUUUAUCCGGGACGAUGAUGACGGUACCGGAGGAAUAAGCCCCGGCUAACUUCGUGCCAGCCGCCGCUGUAA
rnacentral:rRNA from 1 species